GAUGAACGCUGGCGGCGUGCCUAAUACAUGCAAGUCGAGCGAACAGAUGAGGAGCUUGCUCCUCUGACGUUAGCGGCGGACGGGUGAGUAACACGUGGAUAACCUACCUAUAAGACUGGGAUAACUUCGGGAAACCGGAGCUAAUACCGGAUAAUAUAUUGAACCGCAUGGUUCAAUAGUGAAAGACGGUUUUGCUGUCACUUAUAGAUGGAUCCGCGCCGCAUUAGCUAGUUGGUAAGGUAACGGCUUACCAAGGCGACGAUGCGUAGCCGACCUGAGAGGGGGAUCGGCCAACCUGGAAAUGAGACACGGUCCAGACUCCUAAGGGAGGCAGCAGUAGGGAAUCUUUCGCAAUGGGCGGAAGCCUGACGGAGGAACGGCGGGUGAGUGGUGAAGGUCUUCGGAUCGUAAAACUCUGUUAUUAGGGAAGAACAAAUGUGUAAGUAACUAUGCACGUCUUGACGGUACCUAAUCAGAAAGCCACGGCUAACUACGUG
rnacentral:rRNA from 1 species